rnacentral:rRNA from 1 species
AGCUCCAAUAGCGUAUAUUAAAGUUGUUGCAGUUAAAAAGCUCGUAGUUGGAUUUGUGGUGUAUGCAGGCGGCCUGUCACUUAGUGGCGGAGCUUGCUUGCGUCGCCAUCCUUGGGUGGAUCCUGUGUGGCAUUAAGUUGUCGUGCAGGGGAUGCCCAUCGUUUACUGUGAAAAAAUUGAGUGUUCAAAGCAGGCUUAUGCCGUUGAAUAUAUUAGCAUGGAAUAAUAAGA